GGGUUGUGAGGUUAAGCGACUAAGCGUACACGGUGGAUGCCCUGGCAGUCAGAGGCGAUGAAGGACGUGCUAAUCUGCGAUAAGCGUCGGUGAGGUGAUAUGAACCGUUAUAACCGGCGAUUUCCGAAUGGGGAAACCCAGUGUGUUUCGACACACUAUCAUUAACUGAAUCCAUAGGUUAAUGAGGCGAACCGGGGGAACUGAAACAUCUAAGUACCCCGAGGAAAAGAAAUCAACCGAGAUUCCCCCAGUAGCGGCGAGCGAACGGGGAGGAGCCCAGAGCCUGAAUCAGUGUGUGUGUUAGUGGAAGCGUCUGGAAAGGCGUGCGAUACAGGGUGACAGCCCCGUACACAAAAAUGCACAUAUUGUGAGCUCGAUGAGUAGGGCGGGACACGUGGUAUCCUGUCUGAAUAUGGGGGGACCAUCCUCCAAGGCUAAAUACUCCUGACUGACCGAUAGUGAACCAGUACCGUGAGGGAAAGGCGAAAAGAACCCCGGCGAGGGGAGUGAAAAAGAACCUGAAACCGUGUACGUACAAGCAGUGGGAGCCUCUUAAUGGGGUGACUGCGUACCUUUUGUAUAAUGGGUCAGCGACUUAUAUUCUGUAGCAAGGUUAACCGAAUAGGGGAGCCGAAGGGAAACCGAGUCUUAACUGGGCGUUAAGUUGCAGGGUAUAGACCCGAAACCCGGUGAUCUAGCCAUGGGCAGGUUGAAGGUUGGGUAACACUAACUGGAGGACCGAACCGACUAAUGUUGAAAAAUUAGCGGAUGACUUGUGGCUGGGGGUGAAAGGCCAAUCAAACCGGGAGAUAGCUGGUUCUCCCCGAAAGCUAUUUAGGUAGCGCCUCGUGAAUUCAUCUCCGGGGGUAGAGCACUGUUUCGGCAAGGGGGUCAUCCCGACUUACCAACCCGAUGCAAACUGCGAAUACCGGAGAAUGUUAUCACGGGAGACACACGGCGGGUGCUAACGUCCGUCGUGAAGAGGGAAACAACCCAGACCGCCAGCUAAGGUCCCAAAGUCAUGGUUAAGUGGGAAACGAUGUGGGAAGGCCCAGACAGCCAGGAUGUUGGCUUAGAAGCAGCCAUCAUUUAAAGAAAGCGUAAUAGCUCACUGGUCGAGUCGGCCUGCGCGGAAGAUGUAACGGGGCUAAACCAUGCACCGAAGCUGCGGCAGCGACACUAUGUGUUGUUGGGUAGGGGAGCGUUCUGUAAGCCUGUGAAGGUGGCCUGUGAGGGUUGCUGGAGGUAUCAGAAGUGCGAAUGCUGACAUAAGUAACGAUAAAGCGGGUGAAAAGCCCGCUCGCCGGAAGACCAAGGGUUCCUGUCCAACGUUAAUCGGGGCAGGGUGAGUCGACCCCUAAGGCGAGGCCGAAAGGCGUAGUCGAUGGGAAACAGGUUAAUAUUCCUGUACUUGGUGUUACUGCGAAGGGGGGACGGAGAAGGCUAUGUUGGCCGGG
rnacentral:rRNA from 1 species